rnacentral:rRNA from 1 species
UACGUAGGGGGCUAGCGUUAUCCGGAAUUACUGGGCGUAAAGGGUGCGUAGGUGGUUUCUUAAGUCAGAGGUGAAAGGCUACGGCUCAACCGUAGUAAGCCUUUGAAACUGGGAAACUUGAGUGCAGGAGAGGAGAGUGGAAUUCCUAGUGUAGCGGUGAAAUGCGUAGAUAUUAGGAGGAACACCAGUUGCGAAGGCGGCUCUCUGGACUGUAACUGACACUGAGGCACGAAAGCGUGGGAAGCAAACAGG